GCAGGUAUGCUGGAACUGGCAGACAGGCACGUUUGAGGGGCGUGUGUCCUAUGGGCAUAUGGGUUCAAGUCCCAUUACCUGCA
rnacentral:tRNA from 1 species